AUGGUUCAUGAUGUCCAUGAAUAUCUCUUUGAAAUCAAGGCUGAUUGGAAACUUUAUGAAUGCUCCAUUAUGGCAGAUGGGUGGUCAAAUAGAAGAAAUGUACCAAUUGUGAAUUUUCUUGUUUAUUCUCCAAGAGGUACCAUAUUCUUGAAGUUAAGACAUUGCUUGAAAUGUUUGA